GACGAACGCUGGCGGCGUGCUUAACACAUGCAAGUCGAACGAAGUGGCGCACGGGUUAGUAACGCGUAAUCAACCUGCCCUUCAGAGGGGGACAACAGUUGGAACCGACUGCUCAUACCGCAUACUGAAGGAGUGGAUUGCGUCUGAUUAGCUAGUUGGAGGGGUCACGGCCCACCAAGGCGAUUAUCAGUAGCCUGUCUGAGAGGAUGAACGGCAACAUUGGGACGGGGACACGGCCCAGACUCCUACGGGAGGCAGCAGGGGGGAAUCUUCCGCAAGGGACGAAAGUCUGACGGAGCAACGCCGCGUGAGUGAUGACGGCCUUCGGGUUGUAAAGCUCUGUUAAUCGGGACGCGGUACCGGAAUAGAAAGCCACGGCUAACUACGUGCCAGCAGCCGCGGUAAUUC
rnacentral:rRNA from 1 species